UCUUUCUUCAGUGCUCGCAAAAGACAAAGAGAUGAGAAAAUGUCCAACCCCAAUCAGAAGACUCAGAAGCAGACAAAACCCAGGAUCAACGACCCUGAUAAGAAAAGAAAAAGAGCGAGAACAACCAGUGACUCCUAACUCCAUGGCAACCUCAGCAAGAGAUCUCCAUCCCAUAAUGCUCUCCCAUCCACCCGUGUUUUCAGAAGUCGUUUACAGCAUGAACUCUCCGAGAAGGUUUCUCCACUCCGAACAACAGCACACACCAGCACUAUAUCCGUGGAUGAAACUCCGCCAUGGUUGGGAUUGGUUUUAAAUUCAUUGGACCGAUUUUGUCUUUUUUUUAUUUUGCUUUUUGUUUUGUUGUAAAAAGCAUCUGAAGUAGGUCUAUGCAUUUCUAAUGCUGUUCACACAUUGUAUUUUUAGACGACUUUUUUUCAGAGGCAAAAUGAUAUGCUCUAUUUUUUAUAAGAAAUUACUUGAAAUUUCCUAUCAUAUCUACAGGGCUGUAUGCUCAAAUCCAGUUUGUGAGAUUGUUAAAUGACGUCUUAAGCUGAAGAGUGCUCACAUUGUGUACAUAGUGUACCUUAUGAGAUGUGUAAAAAAAAAAAAAAAAACCUUGUACAAAAUGAUGAACAGACAUUGCAUUUGGUUACGACACAGAACAAACCAGCAGUGUCUUGUGUUGAAGAGUCUUACUUUACUUUAUCCAAGAGUAGGAUCCAUGAAUAAAACUGCUAUCAUUUA